UGAAGCCCAGGUCCUCACACGUGCUAGGCAAGUUCUGUACCACUGAGCUGCCUCCCAAGCUGAGCAGUUGGUAUUUUGCAGAACUCUCGAGUGGAGGGCAUAGAGACCUCCUCUUGACCAACACUCUUCGGUUUACAGCUCGGGAAACUGAGGCCCAGAGGCGCAGGCCCAGCCCUGAGUGGACCCUCUGCAGACACUCAGGCACUUACAGAUGGCGUCACCGCGGGGUCUCCCCAUGCACCCUGCUGGAAGGAGAAAUGCGCAGGCCCGCCCGUUGCCACCCCCAGCCUCUAUUCCCUUGCUGAAGAAUUGAUGGAAAGCACCCUUGGGACCCGGGGAUGGCAGGUUGAACGUCCGGAUUUCUAAAGAUCACAAGGGCCACGCGGGGCCGGGUGCCAUCCCCUGCCAUCAGGUCAGGGCUGCCCUUCCUUACCCAGUACUGAUGAGGCCGCCUCAGUUUGCUGCCUGACUUGGGGACACCCUGGCCAUCACUGCCGUGCCCCUUGCUGAAUUCCCUUCCUCCUGGCUCUGUACCCUCCGGCCCCUCACGGAGCUCCAGAGGGCAGAGAUUCCCCACGUCCCGUUCUCACCUCGAACCCCUCCAUGGACCUGAGUGGCUCUGAGCCUCUUCGAGGGUCUUGGGCCCAGCUGUCAGAUGUGACCCCCAGGGACAUGCUGCCUGCUCUGUGGACACCCUGAGCCCUUCAUGGCCUCGGCUGGGCAGACUGACCCCAGGUUGGAAAACCCAGCCCACUGCCCCGUCCCAGCAGCUAAGGAGCUUUGCUGGGAACUCCCCCUCCUUCUCGCCCUCCCAAAACAAGUAGGCAAAUCACCUUUCUCCCCCCAUCCCUCUCCCCAAACCCUUGUUAUUAUGGAAACCCCAGGAAGUUAGAGAGAAAGGCAUGCAAAAUCCACCCCCAAGCCUACCCCACAUCCCCACCGGGCUUCACACUGUAGACCUCGGACCUCGGACCUCAGGUGCCAUGUGCCUGUGCCAGUGACCAGAAGGGGCACUGCUCCCGGAAAUCACAAAGCCCUUGCAGAACCUCGGCCCCUUGGGGUAGGGAGGGGUCUCCCAAGCCUCAGUUUUCCCUGCUUCCCCCCCGCCCAGGUCCUGGUCCUCUUUAUUCCUUUUCUACAUUACUCUGAGACCUGGUGUCCCUCCUGCUCACAGGAGGGUGAUCAGGUUGGAAAAUCUGUGCCCCCCUAGUGGUGACAAAUGCCAGGUGGGAACUUCCAGAAGGGCUUUGCAGGUGUUAGCUAGGUCCAGCUCCCACCAGAGAGAAAGGUUAGCGACCAAAAGACUGGUGGAGAAGCAGUUAAACAACAAGGCGCCCCCCUGCACCCCUGCUCCCACAUGCUCCUUCUUCAGAGCCUUCCAGAAAAGGCACCUUCGAAGACUUGGGAGGCGUCAGCACCAGCCCCGCCCUGGAAGACUGGCAGAUGGAACUCGCCUUUACCCUGCGCCUGCUGGGGCUGACUUCUAGCCCCGGAGCCUCCCAGCCGCUCCCUCCCCGGGCCUUGUCUUUAAGUGAAGUGUUUGGAGGUCUUCCUGUCUCUUCCGUCCACUCUUCUUUCCUGCUCCCCUUUUCCUGCUCCCUGGGCCGCCAGCCCCCCCGCCCCCGCCCCAUAGCACUUGUAAGACGCUAUCGGCCAGGAGGGUCCUGCUUCUGGUCGCUGCCUACUCCAUGCUGACGGUUGGCAGCCGGCACCCGGUGAUAAACUUAUCAGGCUCAAGCUGAGUGCGGCCUGGUCAGAAUGUGCCCUGCCUCAGAUUUCCCUCCUGCUGCCUUUCUGCAUCUCCCCCUCCACCCUAGGGAUCCCAGGUCCUACGUGGCUCCUGGCUGAGCCCAGCGCGAGCCGGACACCCAGAGACAGGGGGUUGGGCAGCCCUCACCCAAGCGCAGUCCUGGGCAGAUCCCACAUCUGCCGUCCAGCCCUCUGUCCUGGGCCAGGCUCUCUCCCCACCCUCUGCCAGGGGGUACCUCGGGCAUGGGGUGCGGCAGCCUGGCAGCCCUGAUGGGGCAGGAAGGAACCCAUGACACUGUGUGCCCAGCAACAGGAGCCUGGAGGGGCCAACAGCUCUGAGGGAGGGGCGGGAGGACAAACCACGAAAUAAUAUAAACCUCAAAUGUAAAGCUCAAAUUCUGUUUGAGCCAGCCGAGGGAGUCUUUUUUUAAUGCCAGUGAUAAUGUUAUCACGCAUGUCCAUUGCAGAAAAAUGAAACAUGACACACAUGAAUACCAGGAGGAAGACAGUACGCGCACCCCUUCCCUCGGUGUAGCCACACUGGUGGGUGCUGCUGGCCCUGGACGCUUCCUCCCAGCUGUGUGGCUGCAGAGAGAGCCACCGGGAAUCAGGCCGAAUACUGAUUUCAAACCACAUUUUCACUUACACCAUGUAAAGCUUCCCCACCAUAUAUUUAUUCUGCAGAAUCUAUUUUCACUUCCAUUUUUUCCAGCACACACACACGCGCACGCACACGCACACCCACGAAUCCAAUCUCUUUGACAGGCAGGAUCCACAGCGAGAUCCAACCCUCUUUCCCAGAAGCUUUUGGUCCCGAGGUGCUCUGGGCCUGGUCGGAUGGGUCUGUGUGUUGGGAGGAACCGUCCCACCGAGGUGGUGCUGAGGAACCAGUUUUGGGGGCGCCAGAGUCCACGGGUACCCGAGGCCCGGUAUAAAACGACCUCUCCUUUGCAG
ensembl:lncRNA